AUUGAACGCUGGCGGCAUGCUUUACACAUGCAAGUCGAACGGUAACAGGUUAAGCUGACGAGUGGCGAACGGGUGAGUAAUGCAUCGGAACGUGCCCGGUCGUGGGGGAUAACGCAGCGAAAGCUGCGCUAAUACCGCAUACGAUCUGAGGAUGAAAGCGGGGGACCGUAAGGCCUCGCGCGAUCGGAGCGGCCGAUGUCAGAUUAGGUAGUUGGUGGGGUAAAGGCUCACCAAGCCAACGAUCUGUAGCUGGUCUGAGGGGACGACCAGCCACCCUGGGACUGAGGCACGGCCCAGACUCCUACGGGAGGCAGCAGUGGGGAAUUUUGGACAAUGGGCGAAAGCCUGAGCCAGCAAUGCCGCGUGCAGGAAGAAGGCCUUCGGGUCGUAAACUGCUUUUGUACGGAGCGAAAAGGUCUCCUCUAAUACAGGGGGCUCAUGACGGUACCGUAAGAAUAAGCACCGGCUAACUACGUGCCAGCCGCCGCCGUAA
rnacentral:rRNA from 1 species